rnacentral:antisense_RNA from 1 species
GUUGGCAACGCUCACGCGUCAGUGUUAAACAAAUUAAACCACGACCAUAACUCGCCAUAAAAUUAAUAUCUUGUGGCCGAACAUGCUCUGCAAUCAUC